rnacentral:pre_miRNA from 1 species
ACUCAAACUGGGGGCUCUUUUGGGUUUUCUUUGGAAGAAAAGUGCCGCCAGGUUUUGAGUGU